GAUGAACGCUGGCGGCGUGCCUAAUACAUGCAAGUCGAGCGAACGGACGAGAAGCUUGCUUCUCUGAUGUUAGCGGCGGACGGGUGAGUAACACGUGGAUAACCUACCUAUAAGACUGGGAUAACUUCGGGAAACCGUAGCUAAUACCGGAUAAUAUUUUAAACCGCAUGGUUCAAAAUUUAAAGACGGUCUUGCUGUCACUUAUAGAUGGAUCCGCGCUGCAUUAGCUAGUUGGUAAGGUAACGGCUUACCAAGGCAACGAUGCAUAGCCGACCUGAGAGGGUGAUCGGCCACACUGGAACUGAGACACGGUCCAGACUCCUACGGGAGGCAGCAGUAGGGAAUCUUCCGCAAUGGGCGAAAGCCUGACGGAGCAACGCCGCGUGAGUGAUGAAGGUCUUCGGAUCGUAAAACUCUGUUAUUAGGGAAGAACAUAUGUGUAAGUAACUGUGCACAUCUUGACGGUACCUAAUCAGAAAGCCACGGCUAACUACGUG
rnacentral:rRNA from 1 species